rnacentral:rRNA from 1 species
GGGAAAAUAACUGAUGUACCUUAUUAUAAGUGGCGUCCAAAAUCUGGUGCCAGAAGACUCGGUAAGGCCAGAGCCGCAAGCGUUAGUCAUCCUUAUCAGGCGUAAAGGGUUUGUAGGCUGCUUUUAAAGCUAGAAUCAAGAAGAGGUUAAACCACAUAAUGCUUAGAGUAGGGUUGAAAUCUGCAGAUACUAAGUAGAAUACUAAUGGCGAAGGCUAUUUUUCCAUUAAUGAUUGACGCUGAGAAACGAAGGUGAGGGCAGGAAAUAGGAUUAGAGACCCCGGUACUCCUCACAGUCAACGAUGAAUGGUGGUUUCUAGAUUUAAGAGGCGAUGUUAACGCGAUAACCAUUCCGCCUUGUGAGUACGGCUGCAAAGUUGAAAACAAAAAAAUUAGUCGG